CCCGCGACCUGCGCGCCCUCCCGCUGCUCCGGUUCCCGCGGAGGCUGGGAAGGGCCCGGCUGGCCCGGCCCGGGGCGCUGUGUCCCGAGGACGCCGUUGGGGCAUCCUGCGGGAGAAAUAGCUUUUCUGUAAAUCCUCAGGCCUUGGAAAACCAUCAUGGCUCUUUCUCAUGAGAUGCUGGGCUGCCUGCUGUCACUCUUCCUACACUAGUUCUCCAAGGGGGGAGGGGAGUCCCCGCACCCUUUAAACGGGGAGGUGGAAACAGCCUUUGCAUGAUGCUAAAAUGUGGUUUUGGCCUUUUGCGUUCUCAUCCUCUUCGCAAGUGUAGGUGCAGUUUUGCAGAGACUACACGACUUGUGAGAUGGAAACAUUGAAAAAGGAAGCAGAUAAUAAAAUCUAGUCCUCGGCGGUGAAACCAGACGUUAAGUAGAUUUGCAAAAAACCCUUCUUUAGAAGAUCCUAUUCGACAAUGAUGUAAGGUUAACAAGCAGAGACAUAGACAGAGGGAGAAGCAGGCUCCCUGAAGAGAGCCCGAUGCGGAACUCGAUCCCAGGACCUCGGGAUCAUGACCUGAGCCAAAGAUGAGGAAAUUGAGGUCCAGAGACAUCGGGAUCUGUCCCUAGGCCACACAGCCCGUUAAGUAGCAUCAUCUGGAUUCACCUCUGCAGAACCUGGCACCAGAGCCCAAGCCUGUAAUUACCUCUUUUCUAGUUAAAUGCAUGAGAUGUCCCAGAAUUCAAGAAUCCACUCUAAAGGAAACAGACAUGUCAUGAAGCAGCUACAACUCAAUAUAAGUGCUAAUCAUAGAGACGUAAGCAUCAGAAAAAAUGCGACAGAAAUGACAUCUGAAACCAAAUCUCGAAAGAGAAAUAAGAAUUUGCUGUGUGAUAAGAGUAGGACAGUAUUUCUGGCAAGAGAACAGCCGUAUUGAAGAAGUUUUGUUCUAGUUGUUCAAGAUCAUGCGAGAAAUACGGUAUGGAAUACAAAAGCACUGAAACGAUCAUUUCCACCUUUGAGCAUGAAUUUCAUACACAGAAAAACUCCAGCCACAAGUCAGAUAAUGUGUUGGUACCAAGUAUUUAUCAGUUCAGUUUGGGCCUAUCACUCUCACAUACUUCAGGUGUCAAACUGAACCUCUAUUUAACGCCAGUAAUGUGACUUCUUAGUGAUGAAGAAGGACCAUUUACGUAGCCUCACACAAUCAAGGUUGUAUUCUUUACAGGCUAUGAACCAGAUAAAAUCUAUUUUCCAAAAUCUUAUGAAACAAUCUCUUUUAUUUUUUUUAAGAUUUUAUUUAUUUAUUCAUGAGAGACACAGAGAGA